GCUUAUUCUCUCUCUCUCUCUCAAAUAAAUAAAUAAAAUCUUUAAAAAAAAAUUUUUUUUUAAGGCGAGCAAUAUUUAAGACUAACAUGUGAAGAGAUCCACAGAUGAUAGCUUAUUUUAUAUAAGCAAAGAUUAACAAUUUUAAUAAUAAUAAACAUUAAAUGCCAAUAAAACUUUAACCAGUUAGGAAAUGCACUUGUAUACAAAGAUGGAUAUUUUGGAACAGUUACCAGGUAAGUCUUAAAGAGUUCUCAGGUUUGGGCACCUGGGUGGCUCAGUUGGUUAAGCCACUGCCUUCGAUUCAGGUCACGAUCCCAGAGUUCUGGGACCCAGCUCCAUAUCUGGCUUCCCCUGCUCUGCAAGGACCCUGCUUCUCCCUCUCCCUCUCUCUCUCUGCCCCACUGCUUGUACUUGCUCUCUCUCUCUCCCUGUCAAAAAAAUAAAUAAAAUCUCAAAAAAAAAAAAAAAAAAAAAAGAAUUCUCUGGUUUGAACUUUGCACAAUUCUAGAAUGGAAAAGAGGUGGGGUUUAUUUCCCCACCCCGUUGCAUCUGGGCUAGCCUUGAGACCUUACUUUGACCAAUAAAACAUGGCAGAAGUAAUAAUAUAUGAAUUCUUCUCUUAUUCUUGGAAUUCAGACACCAAGCGAAGAGGACUGGGCCAGCCCGUGGGAGACAUGUGGACUGGCCCACAGCCAGCACCAGUUCUCACAUAUGUGAGUGGGGCCGCGCUGAAUCAUGCUGAAUCACCGAACGAGUUCCAGGCCAGCUCCAAUUUAACUACAGACGUAUUCCUCCUCUUGGGCAGGAAGCAUGCUGAAGGGCUUUGCUGCUGGGGUGGUUGGUGUUUCCUUGGAGGAGCCCUACCUUGUCUACAGGAUUCUGGUGGCCGUUACUGGGGAACAUGCCUGCCCCAUGCUCAACAGUCAUAAAUAAACAGUCACUGUUGUUAGGGAUAUAUAUUUUGAUUCCCAAAAUACCAUAUCUUUCUUUCCUUUUUUCCUUCUUCCCAAGUAAGGUGAUUUUGAAGUCUAGCUUGUGGAGAAUAAACAUGGAAAAGUGGUAGAAAACCUCUGAAAAAACAAAUGAUGAGGUUAUGUAAAAAUCUCAUUAAUUAAUCAUUAAUGACCAUGCAUUUUUGUGGACAAAAUACAUGUGGCGAUUCAUUAUAUUUAUUAUGGUAUUGUUUGUAAUAGCAAAGAAUUGGAAACAAUCCUAAAUGUCCUUCUAUGGCGGUGGGGGAGGGGUGUGUGUGUGUGGUGUGUGUGUGACUCAAGAAAAAAGUACAUUACAAUAGAAUACAAUGCAGCUGGACCAAAGUAUGAAGAAGCUGUUAAGCACUGAUACAGAAUGUUUUCCCACAUUAAGUGAAAAAAAUCAAGAUACAAAAUAAUGUGUAUUAUGUGCUAUUAUUUGCAUUAAAAAGGAAGGAAACCAUCUUCAUACUUGCUUGAAUAUACAUAAAAACAUAUUCUCUGGAAGGAUAGCCAAGAAAGGGUUAGUAGAAGUCAGUUAUUUUACCAGCAAAAAUGGGUUUAUUUGGAAACACCAAAGAAAUGCACAAUAGUUACGGCUGUAUCUUGUAGCCUCCCCUUUCCAGCCUCCUGACUUCUACUUUAGUGGCGUUUCCCUGUAUUGAUUUUAUAGCAGUGCUAUUGGGUGCCUGGGUGGCUCCGUUGGUUAAAAAAACCUGCUUUCGGCUCAGGUCAUGAUCCCGGGGUCCUGGGAUUGAGCCUGGCUCAUCCGGAGUAGGGUUCCCUGCUUGGUGGGGAGCCUGCUUCUCCCUCUCCCUUUGCUGCUCAGCUUGUGCUCUCUCGCACUCUGUCAAAUAAAUAAAAAAAAAAUCUAUUUUUUUAAGUUUAUUAAUGUAUUUUUAGUAAUCUCUACAUCCAACCUGGGGCUGCACCUGACAACCCCCAGAUCAAGAGCUGCAUGGUCUACUGAUCAAGCCAGCUUCACAACCCUGAUUUGCAUAGCAAUGUUAUUAGUUGUCACCUAUUUGUUUGUAUAAGCACCCAAAUAUUUUAAUACCUAUUAAGGCAUAACUGCAUAAGAUGCUAACUAAACUUAGUUUUUGAAGUUCAGGAAUGGCUUAGCUGGGUGGUACUAACUGGCUCAAAGUUUUUGAUGAGAUUGCAAUCACCUGUGAGCGAAGGACUUGACUGGGGCCGGGAGAGCUGCUUCCCAGAACGGCUCACUCCUAGGGCUCUGCGCCUGAGGCCUCAGCUCGUCCCCAGCUGGGCCGCUCCAUAAAGCUGCUUGAAUAUUUCCGAUAUGGCAGCCGGCCUCUCAGAGUGAAUGAUCUGAGAGAGAGAGACAGAGGAGAGGGACAGGGAGCGGCAGCACAAGAAAAGAAGCUGCAGACUUUUAUGAUUUACUCUAAAUCACACACACAGUCACACCUGCCACGGUCUACUCAUUUGAAGAGGCAGAGUCAGGCCCACACACAAGGGAAGGAGAGUUAGGCUUUCUCUUUUCAGAGGAGUAUCAGAGAAUUUUAAGUAUUUUGAAACCACCCUGGGAGGAGAAGAGAACAACUGGGUGAACAGUGGCAGGGCUGGAAGGAAGAUUUUCCACUAUAUUUAUUUUUAUACUAUACAAAACAAAUUAUUAAUUACAUAUCUUUUAAAAAGAGAUAUUUUAAGCUAUUUGGUAAAGAACUGGGAGAGAAAUAAAAGAAAAAAAAGGGGGUUUGAAGGGGAUGUGAAUGGGGGUCUGUAAGAUACGAAAAAGAGAGGGUCUACUUUGUGCUCACCUUGCUCUCUUCCCACCUCAGAUUUAGCAUUUUCAUUUUCUAGGGUUCGAGGUGGUGAGGGUGUGCGGCCAGUAGUUUCGGGUAAUGGGUUUGUAGAGGAGCGGGAACUCUGUAGCGAGAAUGUUCUAUGGGAUAGUUUUACUGUGGGCGUUUAUCAUUUAUUUGAGCGCCAAGUCCUGUUACAACAAUAUCUCUCCGGUCUAAGUCAUUCUGCAGCCAUGGCCUGUGGUCAUUGCUGAUUUUUAAAAACACCGCAUGGCAUCCAAUACCGUUUCUGGAUGGUUUGUUUCUAAGCUCCACCCUUCCGGCCCCCCAAACUCCCCGUCAGGUCUGACAUCGACGCUCUCACAGAACUUGCAUCAACGGUCAAGCACGACGAGAGGAUUUCACCUGGUGAUAAAAUUGGGGGAGAUUUAAUUUGGACAAAGACGUGGCAUGAAACCCAACGGGUUUAUUGUCUCUAUAAAAAGGUCUUUCAGGUCAAGUGUACCGACGCGUACAGCACUAACUGUACUCACGGCGCCCGGUCACUUUACAAGUCGCGAGGCGAGGAGAAAGUUUUAACCUCUCUUUAAUACACGUAGUCAACACUAAAAGCCCGCUUUCAAGCCAUUUAAAUGCAGUUAUUCCUCCUGAAGGGUCAGGGCGCGUGGGCAGAGAGCGAACUCUGUCCUCGCUCCAACCGCGGCGAGCAGAGUCCUUCCCGCUUCUCCCGCGCCCCCCCCCCUCCCCCUCGCCCG
ensembl:lincRNA